rnacentral:lncRNA from 1 species
AUAGCAACGUGUAUGAAUCCUUUGCCCGGAACAAGAGUUUCGGAUCUUACAAAAUAUCAACUAAUAUAACUUUCAACAAAUAAAUGUCAAAAUUAUAAAUCAUUAUUGUUUCCUUCAGCGUUAUAGAAUAACAAAUAUUCCAAUUUGCGAGCCUGUGGUUCGUAAGUAAAUUCGUCGCAGAUUGUAUUUUUUUUUCCUU